GUGGGGAAUAUUGGGCAAUGGGCGAAAGCCUGACCCAGCAACGCCGCGUGAAGGAAGAAGGUUUUCGGAUCGUAAACUUCUAUCCUUGGUGAAGAUAAUGACGGUAGCCAAGAAGGAAGCCCCGGCUAACUACGUGCCAGCAGCCGCGGUAAUACGUAGGGGGCAAGCGUUGUCCGGAAUGAUUGGGCGUAAAGGGCGCGUAGGCGGCCCGGUAAGUCUGAAGUGAAAGUCCUGCUUUUAAGGUGGGAAUUGCUUUGGAUACUGUCGGGCUUGAGUGCAGGAGAGGUAAGUGGAAUUCCCGGUGUAGCGGUGAAAUGCGUAGAGAUCGGGAGGAACACCAGUGGCGAAGGCGACUUACUGGACUGUAACUGACGCUGAGGCGCGAAAGUGUGGGGAGCAAACAGGAUUAGAUACCCGUGUAGUCC
rnacentral:rRNA from 1 species